AUUUAUGUAGUUUAAAGAAAAACAUUACACUUUCACUGUAAAGAUAUUUUUAUUAAAUCAUAAAUU
rnacentral:tRNA from 1 species